GGGCGCAUGGUCUAGUGGUAUGAUUUUCCCUUAGCAUCUUUCAACCAAAUCACCAUUUGGUUAAUGAGCUUGGGAGAGGUCCGGGGUUCAAUUCCCCGUGUGUCCA